rnacentral:rRNA from 1 species
UACGGAGGGUGCGAGCGUUGUCCGGAAUCACUGGGCGUAAAGGGCGCGUAGGCGGCCCGUUAAGCGUGUGGUGAAAGCUCGGGGCUCAACUCCGAGUCGGCCAUGCGAACUGGCGGGCUUGAGCACUGUAGAGGCAGGUGGAAUUCCGGGUGUAGCGGUGGAAUGCGUAGAGAUCCGGAAGAACACCGGUGGCGAAGGCGGCCUGCUGGGCAGUAGCUGACGCUGAGGCGCGACAGCGUGGGGAGCAAAC